UUUCUGUCAGUCAUUAUCAAAAAUUUAAACAUAUGUUAGAAAAAAUGUUUUAACUAAAAUUUAUUAUUGGUAGACAGUAAAAUGCAGAACAUUUCAUAAAUGCACAAUUGAAACAAAAUUAUUUUACAAUAGGUUGCGGUUUUUUCUGAUGACAAGAACAAUGAUGUGACUCAAUUGUUAAAUAAAGGGAGUAUAUCGUAGAUCCAGGGAUAAGAAAAUGCUAUGGAAUUGUAAGGAGUACAGUACCAUUUUACAUCCAUCGCUUGCAGCAUUUGUCCAAGUUGAACAUUUUCCCUGGAAGUAUGGUAAAUGAUAGCCUUUUUCGGGUUGAAAGGCAAUUAGCCAGGCUUUUUCUACCAAGCAACCUAUGAUGACCGUCACUGCGUCUUCUUGUUGAAGCAUACUGAAAUUUGGAUUCUUGGCGAUUUUAGAAAAAUAAAGUAAUUUGGCUCUUUAUGUA